AACGAACGCUGGCGGCGUGCCUAACACAUGCAAGUCGAGCGAGAAAGGGGUAGCAAUACCCCGAGUAAAGCGGCGCACGGGUGAGUAACACGUAGGUAACCUACCUCUAAGACCGGGAUAACUCGUCGAAAGAUGGGCUAAUACCAGAUAAGACCACAGUCUCUUCGGAGAUCGAGGUCAAAGGUGGCCCCUGCAUGCAAGCUAUCACUUAGAGAUGGGCCUGCGCACCAUUAGCUAGUUGGUAGGGUAACGGCCUACCAAGGCAAAGAUGGUUAGCUGGUCUGAGAGGAUGACCAGCCACACUGGAACUGAGACACGGUCCAGACUCCUACGGGAGGCAGCAGUGGGGAAUCUUGCGCAAUGGGCGAAAGCCUGACGCAGCAACGCCGUGUGGGUGAUGAAGGCCUUCGGGUCGUAAAGCCCUGUCGGAAGGAACGAAUGUUCCUGGGGUGAACAAUCCCAGGGAGUGACGGUACCUUCAAAGGAAGCACCGGCUAACUCCGUGCCAGCCGCCGCCGUAACAC
rnacentral:rRNA from 1 species